UCCCGCUUAGCUCAGUGGUAGAGCGCGUCACUAGUAAAUUACGUAAACGCUUACGUAAUGACGAGGUCAGUUGUUCGAAUCAGCUAGUGGGAA